AUUGAACGCUGGCGGCAGGCCUAACACAUGCAAGUCGAACGACUGGCGGACGGGUGAGUAAUGUCUGCGAAACUGCUCGAUGGAGGGGGAUACCUCCUGGAAACGGUAGCUAAUACCGCAUACCAUCGGAUGUGCACAGAUGGGAUUAGCUAGUAGGUGGGGUAACGGCUCACCAAGGCGACGAUACCUAGCUGGUCUGAGCGGAUGACCAGCCACACUGGAACUGAGACACGGGCCAGACUCGUACGGGAGGCAGCAGUGGGGAAUAUUGGACAAUGGGCGCAAGCCUGAUGCAGCCAUGCCGCGUGUAUGAUGAAGGCCUUCGGGGUGUAAAGUACUUUCGGCGAGGAGGCGUUACUCGCAGAAGAAGCACCGGCUAACUCCGUGCCAGCAGCCGCGGUAAUUC
rnacentral:rRNA from 1 species